AGCUGUGGCUGAAGCGGUGGGCCUUCAAGAGAGGCUCUGAGCCCAAGUCAUGUGUCCAGCCUUUUGACUCUGGAGCUGUGGCUUCAGCCACCAAGAGCAGCAGUGGAUCCUGGAAACCUGAGAACCCAGACUUCUUCUCUGCCAUGGGGGAUGAUCAGGCAGGUGUCUGACUGCUGAAACGGGCAGGAGCUGAUGACGACAGUGGCAGCAAGUACACUUUGUUUAGCACCUGCAUUUUACCAGGCACUUUGUGUACAUUAUCUCAGGGAAUCCUCAUCGAAACUUGCAAAGUCAUUUAUUAUCCUGUUUUACCUAUGAGGAAACCAGAAUCUGUUCUGA
rnacentral:lncRNA from 10 species